rnacentral:rRNA from 1 species
CAGUCGCCACGGUAAUACGUAGGGGGCAAGCGUUAUCCGGAAUUACUGGGUGUAAAGGGAGCGUAGACGGUUAAACAAGUCUGAAGUGAAAUGCCGGGGCUCAACCCCGGAGCUGCUUUGGGAACUGUAGAACUGGAGUGUCGGAGGGGUAAGCGGAAUUCCCAGUGUAGCGGUGAAAUGCGUAGAUAUUGGGAGGAACACCGGCGGCGAAGGCGGCUUACUGGACGACAACUGACGUUGAGGCUCGAAGGCGUGGGUAGCAAACUGGAUUAGAUACCCGAGUAGUCCCUGUCUCUUAUAC